GAUUACAGUCUAUGGACAGGUGUGAGUUUGGCAGGCUGGAAGAAACUACUGAGGAUAACAUGACACAGRAAACAGAAAAACUAUCAAGAAAUGAGAAAAUAAGACUCAAGAUGAACAAUCAAACAGAAAAAUUCUAACAAAAAGAACCAUAAAACAUGACAGUUGGUUCUUAUAAGGUUUUACAAAAAAACAGAUCAGCGCAACAAAAAGUGGUGCAGAGGUAGCCAAAAUCUCUACUCACAGUUUGUUCCUACUGAGGAAUACAGAAACACAAACAAACCUUCAUCAGAAACAGCUGCAGGAAGACAAACAGAGGGGGGUCAGGACAAAGAGCCAACCUGCAUCCGUCUCCAGGAGGAACCAAACCAGACUCUGUUGGAAUGUUCCAGACCAUAGAGAGAUUUUGUGGUGCAAAUCGGAACCCAGACUCAUAGACCAUUGACGCCAUCAUCCUGAGACAAUGGCUGUGUCCAAAACGGUGGGCUGGGUCCUCAGAAGGCCGAAUUCGUCGGCCGCCUACGUCACAGCGCUGCAACGACGACCGACCAAAUCCGAAGACUCCUUCAGUGUGGCUGACAAAUGCGUCCUUCCUUUGGCCCGAAUUGAAGGACUGGUCCGAUGGAUCCUUCCCUGCCCAGCAUAUCCCACAAUGCAUUGCUGCCCGACCAGAGAUAUUUUUUAAUGCUAGUAAUGGUGGAUGAAGUGAGAGAAAAUAAUGUUUUAAAUAAAAAUAUGGUGAUAAAAAAAUUAAAAAUUUCU